GAGCUCUCAGAGUAAAAGUCUUGUUCAAGACCUUGUGGGCACACAUAUCGAGAAAGCAAGAGAAUUACAGCCUGAAAAAUAUUCCAGGCUGGAGCUUUUCAGCUCUGUUC